GAAAUGCCGGAUGUGCUGCGACAUUUGUCACCCCCUUGAUCGCCAGGAGUGAUUCACCUGACCUGGCUCACAAGGCGAGUGCUCCCUUCCGCCCUCCACGUUCCAUGUGUGCUCCUGCUGAAGCUUCUCGCUCAGUGGAGGAAGACAACCACCCCAAUAGACAAGCACCAGUCCUCCGUCGGGUACAGGGACAGCCAGGCUCCCCUGCGAGGACCUCCAAGCAAGCUCUCCAGAUUUUAAGUGCCAUCUGCUCUCCACCUGGAGCAGGGCAGGACGGGAGGGGAUGGAGUCAUCCGAGGGGCUGGUGUGCCAGAUGGUGACAUCUC
ensembl:misc_RNA 7SK 7SK RNA